UAGCGGCGGCGUUACCACCACUCCCGCCCAAUCUAGCGGCCGCGUUACCGCCACGAUACCACCACCACCUGCCUAUAAAUUGAAUUUCAAGGUAGCUGGAAAAAUAUCGCUGCACCCAUUAUCUUUUUUUUUUGUCUGAGAGUAGUGUAUAGCAAGCCUAAUUUUUAUAUAUAGAGAGAGUUACGGUCAGAGGCAUCUGCCGACUGCUAGAUGCACUUCUCUUCUUCUAUGUCGAGUUGAUUGCUCAUGAUUUUUAGCGAAUAUUGUUUUAGGUAUUGAUUGUGGGAAGCAUACUUGCUUCUUCAAGUUGAAGUUACAAUGAUGAUAGGAACUGUUUGUUCAAGGAGAAGUAUAUCCACAUUUUCUUGUUUAUGUCAGAGAAUUAAGCAGACAGAAAGUGAUAUUGUUAAAAUGUUUGAAAUCUCAAGGCCUAAGGCCGAAACAGAAGGCAUCCAAGAGAAGAGACCACCCUUAAGAAGGGGUUCUGUAAGGAUAUUGGAUGAGAGGUUCAUCAGGAUUCUGAAGAUAUUUAAGUGGGGUCCUGAUGCUGAAAAGGCAUUGGAGGUGCUAAAGUUGAAAGUAGACAAUGAAUUGGUUCGAGAGGUUAUGAAAAUAGACAUGGAGGUCAGUGUGAAAAUUCAGUUUUUUAAGUGGGCUGGUAAAAGGAGGAACUUUGAACAUGAUUCUACUACUUACCUGACUUUGAUUCGAUGUCUUGAAGAAGCUGGGCUGACAGGUGAAAUGUGGAAGACAGUGCAAGAAAUGGCACGGAGUACAUGUGUUAUUACUCCUGCCGAUCUCUCCGAGACUGUGAGAAUUUUUGGCAGGGCAAAAAUGGUAAACAAAGCACUAUCAAUAUUUUACCAGAUUAAAGGUCGCAAGUGCAAGCCAACUGCAACCACUUACAAUUCCAUUAUUUUGAUGCUGAUGCAAGAGGGCCAACAUGAAAAAGUUCAUGAGCUUUACAGUGAAAUGUGUAAUGAGGGCAACUGUUUCCCUGAUACAGUAACCUACAGUGCUCUUAUAUCAUCCUAUGCAAAGUUAGGUCGUGAUGAUUCUGCUAUUAGGUUAUUUGAUGAAAUGAAGGACAAUGGUUUACAUCCCACUGCAAAGAUAUAUACAACCUUGUUAGCAGUUUACUUCAAAAUGGGUAGGGUCGAAAUGGCUUUAGCAUUAGUCAAUGAGAUGAAGAAGAAUGCUUGUGCCCCAACUGUGUAUACUUACACUGAAUUGAUAAGAGGGCUUGGUAAAGCUGGUAGAAUCGAGGACGCGUAUUCUAUAUUUCUGUCCAUGCUAAAAGAGGGAUGUAAGCCGGAUGUUGUGUUGAUAAACAAUGUGAUAAACCUUCUAGGAAGGGGAGGACGUAUAGGUGAUGCUUUUAAAUUGUUUAAUGAAAUGGAGUCAUUAAACUGUAAACCGAAUGUUGUGACAUAUAAUACUGUUAUAAAAUCCCUGUUUGAGUCGAAAGCGCCUAUAUCCGAGGUUUCAUCUUGGUUUGAUAGAAUGAAAGCAAAUGGUGUUGCUCCAAGCUCUUUUACUUAUUCAAUACUUAUUGAUGGGUAUUGCAAGAAAAAUAGAGUUGAAAAAGCCUUAGCUUUGCUUGAGGAGAUGGACGAGAAGUGCUUUCCUCCUUGUCCAGCUGCCUAUUGCAGCUUGAUCAAUAGCCUUGGAAAAGCAAAACGCUAUGAAGCUGCAAAUGAGUUGUUUCAAGAACUAAAAGAGAGUUGUGGAUCUAGCAGUUCUCGGGUAUAUGCUGUAAUGAUAAAGCACUUCGGGAAAUGUGGCCGUUUGACUGAGGCUGUCAAUCUUUUCAAUGAGAUGCAAAAGCUGGGAUGUUCUCCGGAUGUAUAUGCACACAAUGCACUCAUGUCCGGGCUGGUGAGGUCAGGUAUGCUAGAUGAGGCUUUUUCCAUGUUUCGUAGUAUGGAAGAAAAUGGUUGUGCUCCCGACUUAAACUCAUUUAACAUAAUACUAAAUGGUUUGGCCAAGACUGGUGACCCACAGCGAGCGAUCGAGAUGUUUACAAAAAUGAAAAAUUCAACAAUUAAACCUGAUGCUGUCUCUUACAACACCAUUCUUGGUUGCCUAAGUCGUGCUGGGAUGUUCGAGGAAGCUGCAAGACUGAUGAAAGAGAUGCGUGCCAAUGCUUUUGAAUAUGAUCUUAUUACAUACUCGUCAAUACUUGAAGCAGUCGGUCAUGUUGAUGAGGAUGGUACAUGUCAGACUUCAUGAGGGAGCUUUGGUAUGGGAGAUUCUUCUAGUUAGUGCUUUUCAUUAUUUACACUAUUUAGUACAUGGGAACCGUUUAAAUCAUCUUGGCCUGGCAAUAUACGCAGCUUUAUGUAUGGUUUUAGGAUGCUCUAGUAAAAUUGAGUGGCAAAUAAUUGCAGCAUUUUGGUUAUUCUCCCUGCUGGAUGCUGGUGUUGGCUUCUGCAGAUAUAUGAUUGAAUUUUCACUUUGGGGUAAGGGUUUGAAGUGGUAUGUUCAGUACACAUAUUACCAUGCGCACGGAAUCUUCCUCCUGUUUUCUCAAAUCACUGAGUGGAAUUAAGCUUGGCAGCACCCUGUAACAAAAGACGAAGGAUGGUUAGCUUUUGGCAGUUGGACCUGAUCAGUUUCCUUUUGUUUCAUGAUUCUCUCUGUCGUAAAUAUAUCUAAUUCUGUCUGUGGGUACGUGAGUUACAAAAUUUCCAUUAGCGAGUGUUUCUUCUACCUGUUGGUAGUUCCUUUGUUCUAAGAAGUGAGAACUUGCUUUGAGAAACUGUGGUUCUGGCCUUAUAUAAAAAAUUCCUUUGGGAAGGAGGAAUGGGGAGAAGGUAUGUUUCACUUGUCCUCUGCAUCGGAUAUUUUUCACCAGAAUUCCACUGCUUUGUGCUCCUGGAUAUUUAACAUCUGCUCUUUCUAUCUCCUUAGAGUGUGCCAAAAACUAUUUUAUAUGGGCUUUGGUGUUCCUCAAAGAUUCAAUGAAGUUCAUUUUUUUCCUUACUUGACCCCUGUGGCUACAUGGAGGCUGGAGCUAGCAAUCCUUGCCCUUCUGUCGGUUAAAUAGAUCAUUGUGACCCUUCUUGCUGCAGUUUCUGAAGCUAGCGAGCUCCUGUGAUCAAUUUACUCAUAAUCAUGUUGAGAAAUUUCAAAUGUCAAGGAUUGUCUACCCUCCCUUUCUCCUCUCUCAAAAUGACCAGGGUUUAACUAUUGCUUCCUACAAGUGAAAUUCUCCAGUAACCUUUUGGUCCACUCCAAUUUCGGGUCUAGAAUGAGACAGGAUUAGGAGGCAUCAAGAUCACUCAUCCAGCUCAUCUUCUUUUCGGUUGCCAAAAGGUCUCUCAAAGGGGUUCAUUAAUGAUGGGAGAUCAUGAAGAGUUACCACUUGGUGUUGCUAAUGGUAGUGGCUGUUACUGAAUUGGGAACAUUCAUAGAAUGAAGGGAAGACAGUGGAGGAACAAAUAUGAUGUGAAAAGGGAUAAAAAGAGAGAAAAUGAAACAAGAGGAAAAGAUGAAAGUGAGAACAGAAAGAAAGGAGAGGAAACAAAAUGGACGAAAGAAAUGAAGAGCAGGUUUAAAUCAAGGUGGGGGAUGUAGCUGGGUGGUAUCUUUUUAUCCAUGCCUUGGUUGGCUUAGAGCUUCACCACUGAUACUUAGGAUAACCCACUGGUGUUGGCUGCCAUAAUUGUUGCAUCUGGUGUAGAAUUUUCCUCAUCAUCCAAACUGCAAAACUAUGUGCAUUAUACAGUGCAUAAUAGUCCCUUGAAGCCAGCAACACUGCAUCACCAUACUGAAACUCAUGUAUAUUUAGGCAUAGCCACCAGUUUGAAACCAAAGUUAUUCUUGUUUUACACAACUAUUGCGCAAGGAUGAAGACGCUGGCCUUAUCCGUCUUGAGGGUUCAACUAUUGAUACAGAUAUUGUCAAUUGGGAUGCAUGCCAGGUCUUAUUGUCUCAACAUAUAACAAGCUGACCAAUUGCCACAAAUCUCUUAUCAAGAGAGCUACCAUAUGUUGUGUGGGUAUCACCAAGGAAUGCUUAAAUGGAACAAUCUUUUUUGAUAAGUUGCUUAAAUGUACUAACGUUACAGGGAACUCUUUAAGUUAUGUUCACCAGGGAAAGUCUGUCCUUUUGAGGAUAUUGAAGGCAAUAUUUUUGAUAUUGGGAAUACAUGUAACAAUUGUAUAUAAAAACACUCACUUUGAAUUUACUGUAAUAUUUCGAAUAUCUUGUUGA